rnacentral:lncRNA from 1 species
AAGCAUAACCAGAACCAAAGAACACAGAACCUAGAGUAAUGUUUAAACACAUGUCAUGAAAAUUCAAACCAAAUCCUAACUUAAGUAAAGCUAAAACAGAGACAAGGUCCCGACGAAUUUCAGGAGCAUACAAGACGUCAUGUAAGAUAAGGGUCCUCCCGCCACGCAUGUGUAGCUGACAAGUGCCAAUACCCAGUACCGCAACCUUGGAGUU